UACGUAGGGCGCAAGCGUUGUCCGGAAUUAUUGGGCGUAAAGAGCUCGUAGGCGGCUUGUCACGUCGGAUGUGAAAGCCCGGGGCUUAACUCCGGGUCUGCAUUCGAUACGGGCUGGCUAGAGUGUGGUAGGGGAGAUCGGAAUUCCUGGUGUAGCGGUGAAAUGCGCAGAUAUCAGGAGGAACGCCGGUGGCGAAGGCGGACCUCUGGGCCAUUACUGACGCUGAGGAGCGAAAGCGUGGGGAGCGAACAGG
rnacentral:rRNA from 1 species